ACACAGAACACUCUCAAACACCAAAAUAUUCUCACUAUCACUGACACGCGUUUCUGGCUACAAAAAUACAUCAAUCUUCUUUUUCUUUUGAAAAAUACGACAGUAAUAAACACAUUAUAUGGGUUUAUUCUACACAAUUAAAUUGGUUUCAGAUGUUUAUCCUGUACAACAGUCGUCGUCGUCGUUGCCACUGUCGCCUUUGCCGCCAUCUUCACCGUCCUCAUCGCCACUUUGUCCUUCGCCGCCAUCGUCAAUCAAUGUCAUCGCUAAAUUAGUUGCGGCAUUCUCUUUGCACCACUCCAUGUAGAUAUGAAGGUCCCAUUUGUAUUGCUAUUGUCUUUUUGCAGUUGCUGCUAUCAAAUAGUCCUUUACAAUCUUCAAGCUUUCGUUCACGGAAAUAGAAUGCAAGGAGGCAUACUUAUGUGACAGUCCUGCUUCAGCCAAUUCUCUACACACCAUGCAAGGCUGAGAAAUGAUGUUAUAAUAAGCGUGAAUUGCUCCUUCAAUAUCAAAACCAUCAAGCUUUUGGAAUUCAAGAAGCCUAUCCAGUACUUUAGAACUAUAAACUGCCUGAGCAACUAGCUAUAUGAAACUUGUUGUACUCGGACCAUCUUCUUCAUGGAUAGCUCCCUUUAAUGCAUCUUCAAAAACGUUUUCAAUUACAAUACUAGUUUUUGGGGUACCACCACCCAAACCUCCAAAUAAAAGAGAACCAUUAACGAAAAUUGUUCCGAGGGGUAGCAUAGAGAGCACUUGUUGCUUUUUGUAUUCUUCUCGAGCAUUAUUGCUUUUUGUAUUUUUUUUUUGUAAAUUUUAAAUCCUAUGAUUUAUGCUUGUU